ensembl:miRNA Mir7084 microRNA 7084
GCUUCUAGAGGAUAGAGGUAGAGAGUGGCCAGCUGCUGCCAGCAUCUGACCCCUGUCCUCUGCACCACAG